rnacentral:rRNA from 1 species
UACGUAGGGUGCAGGCGUUAAUCGGAAUUACUGGGCGUAAAGCGUGCGCAGGCGGUUUGCUAAGACAGGUGUGAAAUCCCCGGGCUUAACCUGGGAACUGCGCUUGUAACUGGCAAGCUGGAGUGUGGCAGAGGGGGGUGGAAUUCCACGUGUAGCAGUGAAAUGCGUAGAGAUGUGGAGGAACACCGAUGGCGAAGGCAGCCCCCUGAGCUAACACUGACGCUCAUGCACGAAAGCGUGGGGAGCAAACAGG